GGAACCUGUGCUGGAGGACCUGAGUUCCAACAGCUAUUUUUUUGAUAUUUGGUGUCUAUGAUCUCAUUGAAAGCCUCUGUUUGAUUUCAGAUUGUUACGUGUAAAGGGGGAGAUGGAGCAGGGUGAGAAAUGUCUGACUGGACCACCAACAGAUAAAAGCACACAUAUGGGAAGAGGAAGUCCAGAUUUCAUGGCAUGUCAUAAGAAUGAAAAAGGACUUUAUUUGUGUGUGAUGUGUGCUUCCCACAAGACCUGUUACCAGGAGUAAGCUCUUAAUAAAUGGAUUGGAUAAAAGGUGAUAUCUGCUUCGCAAUUUCUUCCAGCCCUACCCCUUGCGUGGUGGUGAGAAAACUAACAGUUUGUAUGUGAACAUCUACUAGGAUUGGAAAAAUGUAAUGGAGUCGAGAAGCAGGAGGCACAGAGAACAAACUGUGAUCAGUUCAGUCCAGAUCAGUAAAUGGGCAACAGUUUAAAAUUGUUGGGUUCAGAGGAAGAUCAUUUCAAAUGGAACCAGAAAUAACUUGAAGUUCAGGAAAGAAACAGGACAUAAAAUGAUCUGAAAUCUGUGCCCAUUUGAAGAGGAAUAU
rnacentral:lncRNA from 1 species